rnacentral:rRNA from 1 species
GACGAACGCUGGCGGCGUGCCUAAUACAUGCCAGUCGAGCGAAGCGGGGACGGGUGAGUAACACGUGGAUAACCUCCUAUAAGACUGGGAUAACUUCGCGGAACCGGAGAUAAACCGGCUACUUAUUGGUGUAUCCUCGGUGCAUUGGCGAGUUGGUAAGGUAACGGCUUACCAAGGCAACGAUGCAUAGCCGACCGGUGAGGGUGAUCAGCCACACUGGAACUGAGACACGGUCCAGACUCCUACGGGAGGCAGCAGUAGGGAAUCUUCCGCAAUGGGCGAAAGCCUGACGGAGCAAUGCCGCGUGAGUGAUGAAGGUCUUCGGAUCGUAAAACUCUGUUAUUAGGGAAGCGGUACCUAAUCAGAAAGCAACGGCUAACUACGUGCCAGCAGCCGCGGUAAUUC